rnacentral:rRNA from 1 species
UACAGAGGGUGCGAGCGUUGUCCGGAAUUAUUGGGCGUAAAGAGCUCGUAGGCGGUUUGUCGCGUCUGCUGUGAAAGCCCGGGGCUUAACCCCGGGUGUGCAGUGGGUACGGGCAGACUUGAGUGCAGUAGGGGAGACUGGAAUUCCUGGUGUAGCGGUGAAAUGCGCAGAUAUCAGGAGGAACACCGAUGGCGAAGGCAGGUCUCUGGGCUGUUACUGACGCUGAGGAGCGAAAGCAUGGGGAGCGAACAGG